CCCCCGGGGCGGGGGCUGAGCCUGAGCCUGAGGGGAGCGCUGAGGGAAGCCUUGAAACUCCUGGUUGUGACAUCUGCUGUGGUACAACACCAGCUCCAGAUGUAGCUGCAACCCACAGAACAAUACACCAUGACGCUCAUCUCCAGAACACAGAAUCAAAAGAUUAAGAGAAAGCAGUUUUCAGGAAUCACCACCAUUCUGCAGCAACACAGAAAAAUUAUUAUAGCAAAUAGGUAAACAGGAUCAUCUUCAUCUUAAAUCCUGUCUGCUCUUCUUCUGCCACACAAAUACAACACCAUCAGCUAAGCUUCUGGUGCAAAAAGUAAAUCAGCCAUAAGAAGCUCACCUAAUAAAGAUGUUACUGUUGACUUUCACAAAGAAAUUACUAUUUACUGUUACAGUAGAGUUCAC